AGGAUAAACGCUGGCGGCGUGCCUAACACAUGCAAGUCGAACGCUCUUUUCCUUUCGCAAGAGGGGGGAGGGAGUGGCGGACGGGUGAGGAACACAUGGGUGACCUACCUUUCAGUGAGGAAUACCGGCGAGAAAUCGCCGACAAGACCGCAUGAGCUUCUCUCGGUGAGCGAGGGAAGGAAAGCUCUUUUUCGCGAAAACGGAGAGGGGCGCUGGAAGAUGGGCCUGUGGCCGAUUAGCUAGUUGGUGAGGUAACGGCUCACCAAGGCGACGAUCGGUAGCUGGUCUGAGAGGACGAUCAGCCACACUGGGAUUGAGAACGGCCCAGACUCCUACGGGGGGCAGCAGUGAGGAAUUUUCCGCAAUGGGCGCAAGCCUGACGGAGCAACGCCGCGUGCAGGAAGACGGUUUUCGGAUCGUAAACUGCUUUUCUCGGGGACGAGAACGGGACGGUACCCGAGGAAUCAGCCCCGGCUAACUACGUGCCAGCAGCCGCGU
rnacentral:rRNA from 1 species